rnacentral:rRNA from 1 species
UACAGAGGGGGCAAGCGUUAUUCGGAAUUAUUGGGCGUAAAGGGCUCGUAGGCGGCCAACUAAGUCAUACGUGAAAUCCCUCGGCUUAACCGGGGAACUGCGUCUGAUACUGGAUGGCUUGAGUUUGGGAGAGGGAUGCGGAAUUCCAGGUGUAGCGGUGAAAUGCGUAGAUAUCUGGAGGAACACCGGUGGCGAAGGCGGCAUCCUGGACCAAUUCUGACGCUGAGGAGCGAAAGCCAGGGGAGCAAACGGG